UCCGAAGAACGAGCACGAGCCACGACGAUAUCGGAGGCAAAAGGAUGGACGAGAGAACGAUUUCUCCAGUUCGAUUGGAACGAUGAAGCGCCGGAGCACGCGCAGUGCCGACUUUCUUGAUAGCCCACAACUUGGCCUCUGAACAUCUUUACUCGGAAUGCAUCGACGGUUAGAAGAAUUUGUACAUCCCCCCGUUCUAAAUCGACGAUCAUACUCUGUUCGGUCAGCCCGACAGGGAGGCUCGUCGUUGUGGACACAGGUGAAACCGAAUGUGAAAGAGAAUGUUGUUAUCUCUGUUUUCAAGUUCGUAUCUGAGGUUUUUAAAAUAUCGAUCGUGCGACGUCAAAAAUAGAAGGCAACGGGCAAUAGCGGAGUGGCAAGAUACGAGGAGAACAAAGAAUUCUCACGCUAACGUCUAAAUAUUGUAGUGGAACUUCUAAAACGGAUUAAUUGCCAGUCGGCAGUUAAUUCGAUGCAUGAAAGUGGUCUGAGUAAGAUCUCAUAAAAGGAGGUCGAGGUAAAAAUUUAAGGAGAAUACUGAACGGUACGUCGUUAAGGAUACGUGCGAUCGUCGAUCGCUUUCAACCGAUUGAAAUUAACGUAUCAACGAACCUUCGUCGAACUAAAAUCCGAAUAAAACCGACGCAGCGAGCGUGUCUAAACGGAAUACGGAAAGUUCCCUCAUCGGACAGCGAGAUCUCGUUCGAUUUAUCAGCCUUCGCCGAGAUAUACAAUCGUAUGGAAAAUGUAUAUAGCUCAUUCGGUGAUUUUUCUAGUCAAUGAGAACCUUUCACCCGAUUGGUGAGCGCUCAAGGUUGUCACUGACGCCGAAAGUCUUGAGAUACCGUAUUUUUUCCACACGCACGACGCGUGCUCUUGUGAAACGGCGCUUAAAAGACAGCCGAACCGUGCACUCGGUUCUCACCGUAUGUACUGUACGGCCGUGACCUCCCCAAGAAUUUCAAUGACACUCCCCUCCGACACAAAUAUGUUCCAUAUCGCAUCGAACACGUCUGUUUUCCAGAAUCUAACAUCGGGAAUUGCAACGGUCUGUGAAGAAUAGAACCGUGGACAAAUAAAGAAAUGCUGACACACCCAUUA